rnacentral:rRNA from 1 species
AAUAGAUACCCUGGUAGUCCAUGCCGUAAACGAUGUCUACUAGCCGUUGGGGCCUUUGAGGCUUUAGUGGCGCAGCUAACGCGAUAAGUAGACCGCCUGGGGAGUACGGUCGCAAGACUAAAACUCAAAUGAAUUGACGGGGGCCCGCACAAGCGGUGGAGCAUGUGGUUUAAUUCGAUGCAACGCGAAGAACCUUACCUGGUCUUGACAUAGUAAGAACUUUCCAGAGAUGGAUUGGUGCCUUCGGGAACUUACAUACAGGUGCUGCAUGGCUGUCGUCAGCUCGUGUCGUGAGAUGUUGGGUUAAGUCCCGCAACGAGCGCAACCCUUUUCCUUAUUUGCCCAGCGGGUUAAGCCGGGAACUUUAAGGAUACUGCCAGUGACAAACUGGAGGAAGGCGGGGACGACGUCAAGUCAUCAUGGCCCUUACGACCAGGGCUACACACGUGCUACAAUGGUCGGUACAAAGGGUUGCUACCUAGCGAUAGGAUGCUAAUCUCAAAAAGCCGAUCGUAGUCCGGAUUGGAGU